GUCCACGCCGUAAACGAUGGGAACUAGGUGUGGCGGGUGUCGACUCCCGCUGUGCCGAAGCUAACGCAUUAAGUUCCCCGCCUGGGGAGUACGGCCGCAAGGCUAAAACUCAAAGGAAUUGACGGGGCCCGCACAAGCAGCGGAGCAUGUGGUUUAAUUCGACGCAACGCGAAGAACCUUACCAGGGCUUGACAUGCAUUGGAAAACCGUGGAAACACGGUCCCCCUUCGGGGGCUAAUGCACAGGUGGUGCAUGGCUGUCGU
rnacentral:rRNA from 1 species